ACCCUUAUCCUUUGUUGCCAGCGGUUAGGCCGGGAACUCAAAGGAGACUGCCAGUGAUAAACUGGAGGAAGGUGGGGAUGACGUCAAGUCAUCAUGGCCCUUACGACCAGGGCUACACACGUGCUACAAUGGCAUAUACAAAGAGAAGCGACCUCGCGAGAGCAAGCGGACCUCAUAAAGUAUGUCGUAGUCCGGAUUGGAGUCUGCAACUCGACUCCAUGAAGUCGGAAUCGCUAGUAAUCGUAGAUCAGAAUGCUACGGUGAAUACGUUCCCGGGCCUUGUACACACCGCCCGUCACACCAUGGGAGUGGGUUGCAAAAGAAGUAGGUAGCUUAACCUUCGGGAGGGCGCUUACCACUUUGUGAUUCAUGACUGGGGUGAAGUCGUAACAAGGUAACC
rnacentral:rRNA from 1 species